rnacentral:rRNA from 1 species
CUGGAAUUCCUGGUGUAGCGGUGAAAUGCGCAGAUAUCAGGAGGAACACCGAUGGCGAAGGCAGGUCUCUGGGCAUUAACUGACGCUGAGGAGCGAAAGCAUGGGGAGCGAACAGGAUUAGAUACCCUGGUAGUCCAUGCCGUAAACGUUGGGCACUAGGUGUGGGGGACAUUCCACGUUUUCCGCGCCGUAGCUAACGCAUUAAGUGCCCCGCCUGGGGAGUACGGCCGCAAGGCUAAAACUCAAAGGAAUUGACGGGGGCCCGCACAAGCGGCGGAGCAUGCGGAUUAAUUCGAUGCAACGCGAAGAACCUUACCAAGGCUUGACAUGAACCGGACCGCCGCAGAAAUGUGGUUUCCCCUUUGGGGUCGGUUUACAGGUGGUGCAUGGUUGUCGUCAGCUCGUGUCGUGAGAUGUUGGGUUAAGUCCCGCAACGAGCGCAACCCUCGUUCUAUGUUGCCAGCACGUGAUGGUGGGGACUCAUAGGAGACUGCCGGGGUCAACUCGGAGGAAGGUGGGGACGACGUCAAAUCAUCAUGCCCCUUAUGUCUUGGGCUUCACGCAUGCUACAAUGGCCGGUACAAAGGGUUGCGAUACUGUGAGGUGGAGCUAAUCCCAAAAAGCCGGUCUCAGUUCGGAUUGGGGUCUGCAACUCGACCCCAUGAAGUCGGAGUCGCUAGUAAUCGCAGAUCAGCAACGCUGCGGUGAAUACGUUCCCGGGCCUUGUACACACCGCCCGUCAAGUCACGAAAGUUGGUAACACCCGAAGCCGGUGGCCUAACCCCUUGUGGGAGGGAGCU